UACGAAGGGGGCUAGCGUUGCUCGGAAUCACUGGGCGUAAAGCGCACGUAGGCGGAUUUUAAGUCAGGGGUGAAAUCCUGGAGCUCAACUCCAGAACUGCCUUUGAUACUGGGAAUCUCGAGUCCGGGAGAGGUGAGUGGAACUGCGAGUGUAGAGGUGAAAUUCGUAGAUAUUAGGGAAGAACACCGGUGGCGAAGGCGGGUCUCUGGGCCGAUACUGACGCUGAGGAGCGAAAGCAUGGGGAGCGAACAGG
rnacentral:rRNA from 1 species